CCUACGGGAGGCUGCAGUGAGGAAUAUUGGUCAAUGGACGAGAGUCUGAACCAGCCAAGUAGCGUGAAGGAUGACUGCCCUAUGGGUUGUAAACUUCUUUUAUAUGGGAAUAAAACGUUCCACGUGUGGGAUUUUGUAUGUACCAUAUGAAUAAGGAUCGGCUAACUCCGUGCCAGCAGCCGCGGUAAUACGGAGGAUCCGAGCGUUAUCCGGAUUUAUUGGGUUUAAAGGGAGCGUAGGUGGAUUGUUAAGUCAGUUGUGAAAGUUUGCGGCUCAACCGUGAAAUUGCAGUUGAAACUGGCAGUCUUGAGUACAGUAGAGGUGGGCGGAAUUCGUGGUGUAGCGGUGAAAUGCUUAGAGAUCACGAAGAACUCCGAUUGCGAAGGCAGUUCACUGGACUGCAACUGACACUGAGGCUCGAAAGUGUGGGUAUCAAACAGGAUUAGAUACCCGGGUAGUC
rnacentral:rRNA from 1 species